rnacentral:rRNA from 1 species
GAUGAACGCUGGCUGCGUUCUUAACACAUGCAAGUCGAACGAAGCUCCUUGAUUCGAUUCUUCGGAUGAAGUUCUUUGUGCCUUAGUGGCGGACGGGUCAGUAACUCGUUGGUAACCUGCCUCCUACAGGGGGCUUAUAGUUAGCAAUGACUGCUCAUACCGCAUAAGACCCCUUCACCGCAUAGUGCCGGGGUAAAAACUCCGGUCGUAUGAGAUGGACCCGCGUCUGAUUAGGUAGUUGGUGGGGUAACGGCCUACCACACCUACGAUCAGUAGCAGAGCUGAGAGGGAGACCGGCUACAUAAGGACUGAGACACGGCCCAAACUCCUAUGGGGGGCAGAGGUGAGGAAUAUUGCACAAUGGGGGAAACCCGGAUGCAGCGACGCGGCGAGAGCGAAGAAGUAUUUCGGUAUGUAAAGCGCUAGCAGAAGGGAAGAAAAUGACGGUACCGGACAAAGAAGGACAGGCUAAAUCCGCG